GCAGUGGUGGUUCAGUGAUAGAAUUCUCACCUUCCAUGCAAGAGACCUGGUUCAAUUCCCGGCCAGUGCA
rnacentral:tRNA from 1 species